GAAACAACUUGAGAAGUCAUCAGGGAAACUCUAGUUAACUUGCUUAUCUAAAAUGGCUACAACUAUGAAACUUACCGUUGCACUAUGCCUGAUUGCUGUAUCAUACAUCACCUUCUCAGAAGCAUUCCCACGACAAAGUAUCAACGAUCACCUGAUCAAGUCUUGCCUCGGAUACAAAGAGAAGAAGAGAGGAGAGGGCCAUCGUUGUAACCCCGAGGUCCUCGAUCACGUGCACGACUUCGCCGAGGGGGUGCAAAGGGC